AAAAAAAGAGGGGUAAAAAGAAAAAAGGGAAACUAAAAAGGCCUCUCGAGAAACCCUAGAGCCAAUCACCGCCGCCGCUCUCUCCAAUCCCCUCCGCCACGCCCGUGUCCCGUCUCCCAUUCCAAUCCCCUCUGCUCCAGCUGCUAUGCUCUGCAUCUCCUUCGACUCCUCUCCUCGUCUUUCUUGCGUGACUCCUGCUCGAGUGCGGGGCGUGGAGAUGGUUGUCCGCGGCGCCGGCGCACGACGCGGAGAAGCGGCGGUGGCGUGUUGUGGCUGUACUGGGUUGGCCGGCUGAUGCCGCUCGGAUCCUGUUCGACGAGAUUGUCGGCGACGUGUUGCGGGAGCAGGAGAGUGGGGUCUAGUCCCGGCAGUUUGGGGCACGCUGCUGUUGCUCGUGCAGGAGAACGGUGGCUGCAGCGGCGCGUUCGGGGAGAGCUACGUCGACCCCAUCUUCGUUAUACACGGCAGCCGACCGAGCUCCGUGCGCCGGUUUGGUGUCCGGGAGCUGGCGGCAGGAAGUCAAGGUCAUCGACGUCGCAGUCCAUAGAUCAUCCUCCCUGUUGUGACACCCCACAGGCACUUUCCUCUUUGGUCGCCCCUCCUCACGGACGCUUCAGAACGACAUCUCAGCACGAUGUCGGUGGAGGAGAGGAUCACUAUCGUGCGCUCAGCGGCUGGAACAUGCUGAGGUCCUCAUUCGACCUUAAUUUCAAGGUAGCUUUGCUGUUUAAUUACAUUCCCUCCUAGCUAGCUAAAAAGAGACAUUCAUUUUUGUGUGUGCAGAAUUGCGUGAGUUGUCAGUGAAAAGUUAGUAGAGCUUGCUUAAUCAUGAUGUAGUAAUUAGUGCAUUGUUGCUUAUGUGAAUUUUUUAGGAACGAACAUAGCCACGAAAUAAAAAUGACCACUAUGCUAAAGAGGCUUAUUCUAAACAUGGCAUCUUUAUGUCAGUUACCUAUAGUGUCUAAAUGCUUACAUCCCAAUUUUCCUAGAAAUUUGUGUGUCCUUCCUCUUAGCCUUUAGGCACUGCAAGUUACAUAUGUGAAAUUGUCUGUCUCCAGCAGUAGCAUUUCAUUCAUUUGUUCUGGGGCAAGUGAUGAACGCCUUGAUGCGCAAGAUCUUGAACUUACAUGCUGGCAGGAGAAUAUAUUCCUGCCAUCGACAUGGUUCAGUCUCCAUGGGUCAAACUACGUAACGGCUUGUAGGCAACCAGAGAUGAUAAUCAAGCCUUCAUCGCACACCUUGGACUCGGCUCGAAACUGUACCUCCCAUUAAAAAUCAUGUCCUGGUAAGAUGAGAUGUAACCAAACCUAUAGGUAAUGUGAUUUUGUAAUUUUGGCGUGCCAACGGAUUUUGGUGGAUGUUGGUUGUUUUGGGCAUGUGGUUUGUGUUGUCGGAAUUUUGAGGGGUAUUUUUAGUAGAUGUUGGUUCCUGCUCAUCCAUGUUUGGCUCUUCUAAUACCUAUGCACUCAUCUUGGAAUGAUGGUUUAUGAGAGCAUGUCAA